GACAGAGGGGGCAAGCGUUGUUCGGAAUUACUGGGCGUAAAGGGCGCGUAGGCGGCCUAUUAAGUCGGACGUGAAAUCCCCGGGCUCAACCCGGGAACUGCAUCCGAUACUGGCAGGCUUGAAUCCGGGAGAGGGAUGUGGAAUUCCAGGUGUAGCGGUGAAAUGCGUAGAUAUCUGGAGGAACACCGGUGGCGAAGGCGGCAUCCUGGACCGGUAUUGACGCUGAGGCGCGAAAGCCAGGGGAGCAAACGGG
rnacentral:rRNA from 1 species